rnacentral:rRNA from 1 species
CCUACGGGUGGCAGCAGUGGGGAAUAUUGCACAAUGGGGGAAACCCUGAUGCAGCGACGCCGCGUGAGUGAGGAAGUAUUUCGGUAUGUAAAGCUCUAUCAGCAGGGAAGAAAAUGACGGUACCUGACCAAGAAGCCCCGGCUAACUACGUGCCAGCAGCCGCGGUACUACGUAGGGGGCAAGCGUUAUCCGGAUUUACUGGGUGUAAAGGGGGCGUAGACGGUUAAUCAAGUCAGAAGUGAAAACCCAGGGCUCAACCUUGGGACUGCUUUUGAAACUGAGUAGCUGGAGUGCAGGAGAGGUAAGCGGAAUUCCUAGUGUAGCGGGGAAAUGCGUAGAUAUUAGGAGGAACACCGGUGGCGAAGGCGGCUUACUGGACUGUAACUGACGUUGAGGCUCGAAAGCGUGGGGAGCAAACAGGAUUAGAUACCCGGGUAGUC